GAUGAACGCUGGCGGCGUGCUUAACACAUGCAAGUCGAACGAAGCACUUUGGACGGAUUCUUCGGAUGAAGUCCUUAGUGACUGAGUGGCGGACGGGUGAGUAACGCGUGGGUAACCUGCCUCAUACAGGGGGAUAACAGUUAGAAAUGGCUGCUAAUACCGCAUAAGCGCACAGUACUGCAUGGUACAGUGUGAAAAACUCCGGUGGUAUGGGAUGGACCCGCGUUGGAUUAGCUAGUUGGCAGGGUAACGGCCUACCAAGGCGACGAUCCAUAGCCGGCCUGAGAGGGUGGACGGCCACAUUGGGACUGAGACACGGCCCAGACUCCUACGGGAGGCAGCAGUGGGGAAUAUUGCACAAUGGGGGAAACCCUGAUGCAGCGACGCCGCGUGAGCGAAGAAGUAUUUCGGUAUGUAAAGCUCUAUCAGCAGGGAAGUAAAUGACGGUACCUGACUAAGAAGCCCUGGCUAACUACGUGCCAGCCGCCGCCGUAAUAC
rnacentral:rRNA from 1 species